CACCGCCUGGGGAGUACGACCGCAAGGUUAAAACUCAAAUGAAUUGACGGGGACCCGCACAAGUAGUGGAGCAUGUGGUUUAAUUCGAAGAUACGCGCAGAACCUUACCAACACUUGACAUGUUCGUCGCGACUUUAAGAGAUUAAAGUUUUCGGUUCGGCCGGACGAAACACAGGUGCUGCAUGGCUGUCGUCAGCUCGUGUCGUGAGAUGUUGGGUUAAGUCCCGCAACGAGCGCAACCCUCACUUUUAGUUGCUAUCAUUUAGUUGGGCACUCUGAAAGAACUGCCAGUGAUAAGCUGGAGGAAGGUGGGGAUGACGUCAAGUCCUCAUGGCCCUUACGUGUUGGGCUACACACGUGCUACAAUGGUAUCUACAACAGGAAGCGAAACAGCGAUGUUAAGCAAAUCCUUAAAAGAUACCUCAGUUCGGAUUGCACUCUGCAACUCGAGUGCAUGAAGCUGGAAUUACUAGUAAUCGUGGAUCAGCGUGCCACGGUGAAUGCGUUCCCGGGUCUUGUACACACCGCCCGUCACACCAUGGGAGUUGGUUCUACCUUAAGGCAAGGUUUUAUACCCUUGACCACGGUAUAGUCAGCGACUGGGGUGAAGUCGUAACAAGGUAGCCGUAGGGGAACCUGCGGCUGGAUUACCUCCUUUCUAAGGAUGAAUAAAAGUAAAAUUUUAUUCUAAAUAAUAUACAUAGGUUAAUGUUGACCGUCCUCAUUUCUCUUCUUAAUUAGUGUUUCUCUUGCAUGGGGGCCGGUAGCUCAGUUGGUUAGAGCACACCCUUGAUAAGGGUGGGGUCGAAAGUUCGAGUCUUUCUCGGCCCACCAAUUUAAGAUUAAGGGGGAUUAGCUCAGCUGGGAGAGCGCCUGAUUUGCAUUCAGGAGGUCAGCGGUUCGAUCCCGCUAUCCUCCACCAAACACUUAGUUAUAUCAAAUCGUAAAUAAAAUAAUUAAUAUCAAUAUCUAUAUCCGAACAUUAGUAAUGUUAUUAGCUAAUGUUCAAAAUAAAAAAAUUUGAUUCAACACAGAAUUUUUUUCUG
rnacentral:sRNA from 1 species